ACAGACGAGUUUGAUCAUGGCUCAGAUUGAACGCUGGCGGCAUGCUUUACACAUGCAAGUCGAACGGUAACAGGCCGUUCGGGUGCUGACGAGUGGCGAACGGGUGAGUAAUGCAUCGGAACGUCGACCCAAUCGGUGGGGGAUAACGUAGCGAAAGUUACGCUAAUACCGCAUAAGCCCUGAGGGGGAAAGUGGGGGACCGCAAGGCCUCACGCGAAUGGAGCGGCCGAUGUCAGAUUAGCUAGUUGGUGGGGUAAAGGCUCACCAAGGCGACGAUCUGUAGCGGGUCUGAGAGGAUGAUCCGCCACACUGGGACUGAGACACGGCCCAGACUCCUACGGGAGGCAGCAGUGGGGAAUUUUGGACAAUGGGCGCAAGCCUGAUCCAGCCAUGCCGCGUGCGGGACGAAGGCCUUCGGGUUGUAAACCGCUUUCAGCCGGAAAGAAAUCGCUGUUUUAAUACGGACAGUGGAUGACGGUACCGGAAGAAGAAGCACCGGCUAACUACGUG
rnacentral:rRNA from 1 species